GGCGAGCACGGUUGUGGUCUGGCUGACACCUUCCUCGACACCCAAGACAAGGAAUAAAGGGUUAGAGUCUUCAAAGUGAUCCCUUUAGCCUGCAGGGAGACCGCAGCAGGGUGUACACUGGAUGAAAUUACGUAAAACACGAAGAGAGCACGGGGCACAGGAGUGCUUCUCAAGAAAGGGGCUCUGGGGCAGGAGCAGAAGCCCGUGGCAGGGACGAGGGCUGUGGGCCACUGAAAUGCUCCCUGCCAGCCCCAGUGCCCGCAGACGGCCCCUCCAGCCUGGGGGAAGCUCUGCCUGCCUCCUCAGGCCGCCCGCAAACUGCUCGUGGCCCAGGGACCUCAGGGUUGCCUCCAGUGGACACACUUCGUGUCUUGCUAGAGCCCCGUUUCUAAGGGAGAGGCAGCCGACAGCUUGCUGGGAGAUUUCUAAGAAGAAAGCUGGUGGGGUGGCUACUGCUUUCUAGAUUACUCAGUGUGUGACUGGAAACACACUGGUCGCUUUGCACGGUCACAGCCGGCACAGCCUGUAGUCACAGAAUGUUCUGGGCUCACCCUCUUCUCUGGCCUGGGGAAGUGAGGCUCAGCGUAGAGGCUGUACCCACAGGCACAUGACGGUCUGCACCCAGGCCAGGGCUCAGUGAGGAGCCGGAGUGUCCCGGCCUGCCUGGACUCCAGCCGGGACCUCCCACAUGAGGCUCAUUCAUCUAUGCCCAGGAUUCUCAAAGAACCCCGGCCCCAGCCUGCUCUCUGUCAUGUGCUGAGCCCCAAGCUUACCCAUGCCUCCUGCCGUGGGGACCAGAGAAUGAGAAGACCACCAGGGAGACCCGCCCUGGAGACCAUGGUGUGCUGCUGACUCACGAGAAUGACAUCACCAAGUGUGCCCUCUGUCCUGUCACUUGGAGCUCCUGGAAGCACAGAAUGUCCCUCAGCCUGGACACUGCCCCUGGCCUGGGGAGGUAGAUGCUCCCCACCUCCCCUCCUGCCCUAGUGCAGAGGAAAGAAGAUCAAAUCUGGAGUCAGCAGACAUAGGAGUCUAAUCCCUGGUUCUGAUAUAUCUAGGCAGUCAUUGCCUUAGCCACACUCAGCCUUAAUCUCCUGAUCUGCAAAAUGGGGAGAACCACACUAACUUUGCAGUUUGCGGUGAGAGUCAAGGAAACCCACGUGAGAAGUGUCUGGCACUGUGCCUCGCAUGUAGGCUUGAGCUGAGCUCCAGGGAGUGAGAGAAAGGGGACCUAACAGACUUGUGGGAGACGAGCGUGAAGACAAAGCAAUGACCCCAGAUAGGCCAGUCGCAAAUGCCAGGAAAGAUCCACGGACCCUGGAGUUUCACCUGGACCUUGAGAAACAGAAUUUGAAUAUUGUGGAGAUUAACAAAACAAAACACCACAGGAGCAAAGGUCCUGAGUGAAGCUGGCCCUUUGGGGCUGGUGUAUCUGGUCAGCUGGUAGGCAUGGAGGGCCCACCCCACGGGGAGAAGCCAGGCAGAGAAAGAAGGCUGGAGGCGGCCGGAAAAGACGGAAAAGACACAGGUGUCAGGCGACGUUUGAAUUGAUUUUCAGCACUAGGGAGCCAUCUCUGAUCAGGGAGUGGAGUGAGCAGAAAUGCCUUCUGGAGGAGGCCUUGAAACCACCUUUGCAAAAAUGGUAUCAGUGAGAAAAUUAUGACAGUGAAAGAGAUCUCAGCUAACCUACCCCCAAUCUUUCCUUUCCCUUCCUUAUUCCUGGGUAUUGGGCCGAGCUAACUUUGAAGACAUUUAGGCUGUAGUUUAAAUGGUAACAGGCCUUGUCCCAAAACGCAGCUGCUUUUGUAAAGCUAAUGAGAGGCCAUCAGGCCUGGGGGAGUAGAGGGCCCUGACUCCUGCUAAGGCGCAGACAUAAAAGACUGUCAGCCACGAUGCCAGAGGUCAGAAGACAGGCAACUUCCCUAAUUACUCCUGCAAAUAAUGCCAAUGUUGUGAACCUAAGGUCGGCCUUCCGAGAUACCUUUUCAGGCCUUUUGCAUGUCUGACACCCAUGGCUCCACCUGGACCCGCCAACCUUGCCCCUGUGGCCCCACCCAGAAGUGACUCAGCACCCAGGAGGACAGCUUCGACCCCCUAAGAUUUCAUCUCUGCCAACAGCAAGCACCUGUUACCUGGCCACCCCCAACUCUUCCCCCAAACUGCCUUUGAAAAACCCCUAACCUACAAGCUUUGAAGAUAAUUUCAGUACUAACUCUGUCUCCCACAUGGCACGGCGGGCCUUGGGUCUGUUCAAUUCUUUCUUUACUGCAAUUCCACGACCUUUCUUCAUGCAGUGGGCAGGAAGAACUCCUCCAGUGAUUACAGCCUGGGGUGCAGGGUCUGGAUGGACGGAGCAGCACCUGGAGAGGGCCGUUAACCCUCUGUUGUCCAUGUGUGGCUAGGCGAGGGCUGCAGCCAGACCCAUGGCCUUAUCUGCCUGCAGGGCCCGCCUGAGCCCUCAGUGACAGACACAGGUUUCUAAGCCAACCCAGAGGGGAUGCAGAGCCCUCCCUUUGGAGAGUUGAGAUCCUGCUGAACCUAGGAAAGUACUGAAACACCAGCAGAGAGCUCACAGAGCAGCCAUGGCCAGGGCUCAGGCACUGCCUGCGGCCCACCCUGGAGCUCCCACGCCCACCUGUCUCAUCUUUCCAGAACUGGCCCAUCUCUGCAGAGUUGGCAGCAGGUCCUCCUGCCAGCUGAGAGCCAGCUCCAGGACUCCUUGGCUUUUUCCAGGCAGAGCCCAAGGCCCAGGUGCCAAACCCGUGUCCCAGCUCUUCUUGGCAGGCCUGGCCCUUGUUUGUCUUUGGGUUUUUCAACUUUUUAUUUUGGAAUCAUUACAGACAAGUUGCAACGAUAGUACAGAGAGUUCGUUCCCAUGUACCCUCACCCAGCUUCCGCUAGUGUUAACGUCUUACAUAACCGUGGUACACUUGUCAAAGCAAAGAAAUUAACAUUGGAACAAUACUAUUAAUUGAACUACAGACUUUAUUUGGAUUUUAGAGUUUUUCCUUAAGGGACAUUACAGUGUCAUUUUUCUUGCCUAGGCCCAAUCCCGGUUGCCACGUUGCAUUUAGUUGUCACGUCCUUUGGUCUCCUUUCACCUGGGACCACUUCUCAGGGUUUCCUUGCUUCUUAUGACCUUGACAAUUUUUUUUAAAUUAUGGUAAAAUAGAUACGUAACAUAUUGCUAUUUUAACCAUCUUUAAGUGUAUAAUUAAGUGGCAGUAAUUGCAUUCACAAUGUUGUGAAACCAUCAUCACUAUUUCCAAAACAGAAACUCUGCCCCUUAACCAGUAACUCUCCACUCCCCUCCUCCCAGGUACCUUUUUUUUUUUUCUUUUGCGACAGAGUCUUGCUCUGUUGCCCAGGCUGCAAUGAUCUUGGC
rnacentral:lncRNA from 10 species